rnacentral:rRNA from 1 species
GGCUCAGGAUGAACGCUGGCGGCGUGCCUAACACAUGCAAGUCGAACGGAGAUUUAACGCUGAUGAGGCUUCGGCGGAAUCUGUUAAAUCUUAGUGGCGGACGGGUGAGUAACGCGUGGGCAACCUGCCUCAUACUGGGGGAUAACAGUUGGAAACGACUGUUAAUACCGCAUAAGCGCACUAAAGUCGCAUGACUCAGUGUGAAAAACUCCGGUGGUAUGAGAUGGGCCCGCGUCAGAUUAGCUAGUUGGUGGGGUAAAGGCCUACCAAGGCGACGAUCUGUAGCCGGACUGAGAGGUCGGACGGCCACAUUGGGACUGAGACACGGCCCAAACUCCUACGGGAGGCAGCAGUGGGGGAUAUUGCACAAUGGAGGAAACUCUGAUGCAGCGACGCCGCGUGAGUGAAGAAGUAUUUCGGUAUGUAAAGCUCUAUCAGCAGGGAAGAAAGGCUCGAAAGAGAGAUGACGGUACCUGACUAAGAAGCCCCGGCUAACUACGUGCCAGCCGCCGC